CCCUUAGAUGUUCUGGGCUGCACACGUGCUACACUGGCAGGUUCAGCGAGCUUCAUGCCCUGAUCUGAAAGGAAUGGGUAAUCUUUUCAAAACCUGCCGUGCUUGGGAUAGAUGUUUGCAAUUAUUCAUCUUCAACGAGGAUUGCCUUGUAAGCGCACGUCAUCAGCGUGCAUUGAAUACGACCCUGUAUUCUGUACACACCGCCCGUCGCUCCUACCGAUUGAAGUUUUCGGUGAGUUGACAGGAGGAUUUUUUUGAAACUGGUUCGCCAGUGGAUUUUAGAUCCAAAUGCCAACGAAUCGAUGGCUUUAGAGGAAGGAGAAGUCGUAACA
rnacentral:rRNA from 1 species